AAACAUGAGAGUUUGAUCCUGGCUCAGAGCGAACGCUGGCGGCGUGCCUAACACAUGCAAGUCGAACGUGAACGGGGCAACCCUAGUAAAGUGGCGUACGGGUGAGUAACGCGUAGAUAAUCUACCCUAAAGUUUGGAAUAACCGGCCGAAAGGCUGGCUAAUACCGGAUAGAGCGACGGAAUCCGCAAUCGGAUUUUUCGGGAAAGGGAGCUCGCAAGAGCCUUCGCUUUAGGAUGAGUCUGCGUCUCAUUAGCUAGUUGGUGGGGUAAUGGCCCACCAAGGCAUUGAUGGGUAGCUGGUCUGAGAGGAUGAUCAGCCACACUGGAACUGAAACACGGUCCAGACUCCUACGGGAGGCAGCAGUGGGGAAUCUUGCGCAAUGGACGAAAGUCUGACGCAGCCACGCCGCGUGAGUGAAGAAGGCCUUCGGGUUGUAAAGCUCUGUCGGA
rnacentral:rRNA from 1 species